GUUAAAGACUUCGGAAAGCCUGGUGGCGACGGAGAGAUUCUGCAAAAGCUAUUGCUAGAGCGAGCUUCCCGCAACCCAAACUGGUUUUCAGAAAAAGCUAUUGAAAAAUUUCUGAAGUCUAGGCUUCCUUUGUCAAGCACGUCAAUGGCAAUGAGUCUUCCGAGGAACAAAUUUCCCACGAAAAAAGAUCAACUCAGACAGGCAGCUGCACUCACAGCAGGAGCGCUGAAUUUCAAGCAUUUAAUUGAAAGACAACUUCUCCAGCCUGAUGUCAGCGGAAAAACACCCUUGGACAUGUCGUAAUAC